GAGAGGAUGAUCAGCCACACCGGGACUGAGACACGGCCCGGACUCCUACGGGAGGCAGCAGUGGGGAAUAUUGGACAAUGGGGGAAACCCUGAUCCAGCCAUGCCGCGUGUGUGAAGAAGGCCUUUUGGUUGUAAAGCACUUUAAGCAGUGAAGAAGACUCCGUGGUUAAUACCCACGGACGAUGACAUUAGCUGCAGAAUAAGCACCGGCUAACUCUGUGCCAGCAGCCGCGGUAAUACAGAGGGUGCAAGCGUUAAUCGGAAUUACUGGGCGUAAAGGGAGCGUAGGUGGCUCUAUAAGUCAGAUGUGAAAUCCCCGGGCUUAACCUGGGAACUGCAUCUGAAACUGUAGAGCUAGAGUAUGUGAGAGGGAGGUAGAAUUUCAGGUGUAGCGGUGAAAUGCGUAGAGAUCUGAAGGAAUACCGAUGGCGAAGGCAGCCUCCUGGCAUAAUACUGACACUGAGGCUCGAAAGCGUGGGUAGCAAACAGGAUUAGAUACCCUGGUAGUCCACGCCGUAAACGAUGUCUACUAGUCGUUGGGUCCCUUGAGGACUUAGUGACGCAGCUAACGCAAUAA
rnacentral:rRNA from 1 species